GACGAACGCUGGCGGCGUGCUUAACACAUGCAAGUCGAGCGGUAAGGCCCUUCGGGUACGACGAGCGGCGAACGGGUGAGUAACACGUGGGUGACCUGCCUCUAGCUCUGGGAGUAAGCCUGGGAAACUGGGUCUAAUACCGGAUAUGACUCCACGGCGCAUGUUGUGGGGUGGAAAGCCUUGUGUGGCUAGAGAUGGGCCCGCGGCCUAUCAGCUUGUUGGUGGGGUGAUGGCC
rnacentral:rRNA from 1 species